ACUAUAGACAGGUAGAUUUAUGUAUAAUGUCCCUCUGUCUCUUCUUUUAGAAUACGCAUGUAAAUUUUAUAUUGAAACUUGGUAAUAUACUAGUUCUGGUUCAGACAAUUAUUCCCUGGGAAUAACUGGGAGACAGAUUAAGUGGAGAAACACAACUGGCGGAGUUAAAGGGGAGAGACACACCUGGGGUACAGAGAUAAAGGGAAGAGACAC